rnacentral:rRNA from 1 species
CCUACGGGAGGCAGCAGUGGGGAAUCUUAGACAAUGGGGGCAACCCUGAUCUAGCCAUGCCGCGUGAGUGAUGAAGGCCUUAGGGUCGUAAAGCUCUUUCGCUGGGGAAGAUAAUGACGGUACCCAGUAAAGAAACCCCGGCUAACUCCGUGCCAGCAGCCGCGGUAAUACGGAGGGGGUUAGCGUUGUUCGGAAUUACUGGGCGUAAAGCGCGCGUAGGCGGACUGGAAAGUUGGGGGUGAAAUCCCGGGGCUCAACCUCGGAACUGCCUCCAAAACUAUCAGUCUAGAGUUCGAGAGAGGUGAGUGGAACUCCGAGUGUAGAGGUGAAAUUCGUAGAUAUUCGGAAGAACACCAGUGGCGAAGGCGGCUCACUGGCUCGAUACUGACGCUGAGGUGCGAAAGUGUGGGGAGCAAACAGGAUUAGAUACCCCAGUAGUC